rnacentral:rRNA from 1 species
CCUAGUAACGGCGAGUGAAGCGGCAACAGCUCAAAUUUGAAAUCUGGCUUCGGCCCGAGUUGUAAUUUGCAGAGGAAGCUUUAGGCGCGGCACCAACUGAGUCCCCUGGAACGGGGCGCCAUAGAGGGUGAGAGCCCCGUAUAGUUGGACGCUAAGCCUGUGUAAAGCUCCUUCGACGAGUCGAGUAGUUUGGGAAUGCUGCUCAAAAUGGGAGGUAAAUUUCUUCUAAAGCUAAAUACCGGCCAGAGACCGAUAGCGCACAAGUAGAGUGAUCGAAAGAUGAAAAGCACUUUGAAAAGAGGGUUAAAUAGCACGUGAAAUUGUUGAAAGGGAAGCGCUUGUGACCAGACUUGCGCCUGGCUGAUCAUCCGGUGUUCUCACCGGUGCACUCUGCCAGGCUCAGGCCAGCAUCGGUUCUCGCGGGGGGAUAAAGGCCCUGGGAACGUAGCUCCUCCGGGAGUGUUAUAGCCCAGGGUGCAAUGCCCUCGCGGGGACCGAGGUUCGCGCAUCUGCAAGGAUGCUGGCGUAAUGGUCAUCAGCGACCCGUCUUGAAACACGGACCAAGGAGUCAAGGUUUUGCGCGAGUGUUUGGGUGUAAAACCCGCACGCGUAAUGAAAGUGAACGUAGGUGAGAGCUUCGGCGCAUCAUCGACCGAUCCUGAUGUUUUCGGAUGGAUUUGAGUAGGAGCGUUAAGCCUUGGACCCGAAAGAUGGUGAACUAUGCUUGGAUAGGGUGAAGCCAGAGGAAACUCUGGUGGAGGCUCGCAGCGGUUCUGACGUGCAAAUCGAUCGUCAAAUCUGAGCAUGGGGCGAAAGACUAAUCGAACA